rnacentral:lncRNA from 1 species
AUCUGCUCACAUAAGCUGCAAUUUCCCUACUUCAUGUUUGGCCACCAAUAAUAAUCCUUCAAAAUCCGAUACAUUUUUAGUGCUACCCGGAUGAGCAGCAUAUGCAGAGCUAUGAGCUUCCUCCAUAAUCUCACUCUUCAACUCUUCAUUUCUUUUGGAACACAUAGUCGGUUCUUAAACAUAGAGUCCCAUCUCUUCUAACUGAAAAAUGAUCGGCUGCGGCUCCAUUCGAAACUCUUUCCAUCAAUCGAACUAUGGAAGGAUCAUUAUACUGUGCUUCCCGCACUCUAUCAACCAAAACUGGCCUCAUAUGAAAACUGGCUAUCAAAGCACCAACCUCAUCCACUGAUAAAUCCACUCCUGUAGCUCGCAACUCACAAAGAAGCGGAACACGAACCAUCUUUAUAUGAGAUAAAGAUAUGGAGGGAUUUCGACUAAGAGCAUCAGCUACCACAUUAGCUUUUCCAGGAUGAUACUCAAUAGUGCAAUCAUAAUCAUUGAUUAACUCCAUCCACCUUCUCUGUCUCAUAUUAAGCUCUCUUUGAGUGAACACAGGGUUAUGUGCUGUAUAUGUACAUGCCCACCUCCAAUCUAACACGAGGCCUUUUGGUGGCUCAGCGGCUUCGAAGGGGAUGGGUACUCCGAGGUUAAGCAUGUUGACGCUAGAGCAAUCCCAGGAUGGGUGACCUACUGGGAAGUUGCUCCUGAGCUACCGGAAACAAAACCGUGAGGGCCGGUGGGCCCAAAGCGGACAAUAUCGUGUUACGGCGGAAUGGGUCCUGGGAUGUGACAAAUGGUAUCAGAACCACUCUGCCGUGUGGUGCGAGUGUGCCGACGAGGGCGUCGGACUCCCAAGGGGGGUGGAUUGUAAUAUCCCACAUCGGCUAAACGGAGAAGGGUUAUGUGCUGUAUAUGUACAUGCCCACCUCUAAUCUAAUACGAGGCUUUUUGGUGGCUCAGCGGCUUCGGAGGGGAUGGGUACUCCGAGGUUAAGCAUGUUGAUGCUAGAGCAAUUCCAGGAUUGGUGACCUACUGGGAAGCUGCU